rnacentral:rRNA from 1 species
ACGCUGGCGGCACGCCUAACACAUGCAAGUCGAACGAAGUAGCAAUACUUAGUGGCAGACGGGUGAGUAACAUGUAGGUAUCUGCCCUUUGGCCUGGAAUAACACGAGGAAACUUGUGCUAAUACCGGAUAAGUCUUUACGGAGAAAGCUUUAUGCACCAUUGGAUGAGCCUGCACUUGAUUAGUUUGUUGGUGGGGUAAUGGCCUACCAAGACUGUGAUCAAUAGCUGAUUUGAGAGGAUGAUCAGCCACAUUGGGACUGAGACACGGCCCAAACUCCUACGGGAGGCAGCAGUGGGGAAUCUUGCACAAUGGAGGAAACUCUGAUGCAGCGAUGCCGCGUGAGUGAAGAAGGCCCUUGGGUUGUAAAGCUCUUUCGUCGGGGAAGAAAAUGACUGUACCCGAAUAAGAAGGUCCGGCUAACUUCGUGCCAGCAGCCGCGGUAAUACGAAGGGACCUAGCGUAGUUCGGAAUUACUGGGCUUAAAGAGUUCGUAGGUGGUUGAAAAAGUUAGUGGUGAAAUCCCAGAGCUUAACUCUGGAACUGCCAUUAAAACUUUUCAGCUAGAGUAUGAUAGAGGAAAGCAGAAUUUCUAGUGUAGAGGUGGAAUUCGUAGAUAUUAGAAAGAAUACCAAUUGCGAAGGCAGCUUUCUGGAUCAUUACUGACACUGAGGAACGAAAGCAUGGGUAGCGAAGAGGAUUAGAUACCCUCGUAGUCCAUGCCGUAAACGAUGUGUGUUAGACGUUGGAAAUUUAUUUUCAGUGUCGCAGGGAAACCGAUAAACACACCGCCUGGGGAGUACGACCGCAAGGUUAAAACUCAAAUGAAUUGACGGGGACCCGCACAAGUAGUGGAGCAUGUGGUUUAAUUCGAAGAUACGCGCAGAACCUUACCAACACUUGACAUGUUCGUCGCGACUCUAAGAGAUUAGAGUUUUCGGUUCGGCCGGACGAAACACAGGUGCUGCAUGGCUGUCGUCAGCUCGUGUCGUGAGAUGUUGGGUUAAGUCCCGCAACGAGCGCAACCCUCACUUUUAGUUGCCAUCAUUAAGUUGGGCACUCUGAAAGAACUGCCAGUGAUAAGCUGGAGGAAGGUGGGGAUGACGUCAAGUCCUCAUGGCCCUUACGUGUUGGGCUACACACGUGCUACAAUGGUAUCUACAACAGGAAGCAAAACUGCGAAGUUAAGCAAAUCCCUAAAAGAUACCUCAGUUCGGAUUGCACUCUGCAACUCGAGUGCAUGAAGCUGGAAUUACUAGUAAUCGUGGAUCAGCGUGCCACGGUGAAUGCGUUCCCGGGUCUUGUACACACCGC